GUUGACCUCGGAUCAGGUAGGGAUACCCGCUGAACUUACGCAUAUCAAUAA
rnacentral:rRNA from 1 species